rnacentral:rRNA from 1 species
AGGACGAACGCUGGCGGCGUGCUUAACACAUGCAAGUCGAGCGGUAAGGCCUUUCGGGGUACACGAGCGGCGAACGGGUGAGUAACACGUGGGUGAUCUGCCCUGCACUUCGGGAUAAGCCUGGGAAACUGGGUCUAAUACCGGAUAUGACCUCCGAUCGCAUGGUUGGUGGUGGAAAGAUUUAUCGGUGCAGGAUGGGCCCGCGGCCUAUCAGCUUGUUGGUGGGGUAAUGGCCUACCAAGGCGACGACGGGUAGCCGACCUGAGAGGGUGACCGGCCACACUGGGACUGAGACACGGCCCAGACUCCUACGGGAGGCAGCAGUGGGGAAUAUUGCACAAUGGGCGAAAGCCUGAUGCAGCGACGCCGCGUGAGGAUGACGGCCUUCGGGUUGUAAACCUCUUUCAGCAGGACGAAGCGCAAGUGACGGUACCUGCAGAAGAAGCACCGGCUAACACGUGCCAGCAGCCGC